AGCUCCACCAAAAACCUACAUUUAUAUGGGAGGGGAAAGGUCAUAAUUUCUUUUCUGGGUGGGUGUAAUGUACUCGGGCGAGGACUUCAUAUAAUUAGGAUCGAACGUCACUUACAGUUUAUUUCAAACACAGAACGAGUGAAGUUAGUAUCAGCUGAAUUAACAGGUCUUUGGUAAAACCGGGCAAACGUUUGAGAACCUGCAGACCAACCUACAGUUCUACGAAUGGUAUCAAAAUCGACACCGUUUUCGACAGCUUUUGACGUUGACGCAUGUCUUGUAGAAUGGGCAGAAGAUAUCGUGGUAUCGAUUCCACUUAAGAAUAAGGAUUUCUUGACCCAUCUACUAAUUACGUCCUGUGAAAGUAGUACAUCCUGUCUGACUUAUCGGACGUCUCGCAAACGGGAGCCUGGAGUUUGACUGUUGAUUUGGAAUCAUGUUUCUUUUUCUCACUUGAGGGAGUUUGAGACUAUCGCUCAUUUUAUUAAGAGCCUUUGAUUUUUUUAUUUUGUCUGACAA